rnacentral:rRNA from 1 species
CCUACGGGAGGCAGCAGUGAGGAAUAUUGGUCAAUGGUCGGGAGACUGAACCAGCCAAGCCGCGUGAGGGAGGAAGGUACAGAGUAUCGUAAACCUCUUUUGUCAGGGAACAAAGGCGGGGACGUGUCCCCGGAUGAGUGUACCUGAAGAAAAAGCAUCGGCUAACUCCGUGCCAGCAGCCGCGGUAAUACGGAGGAUGCGAGCGUUAUCCGGAUUUAUUGGGGUUAAAGGGUGCGGCGGGGGUUCGUUAAGUCAGCGGUUAAAGGACGGGGCUCAACCCCGGCCCCGCGGUUGAAACUGGCAGUCUCGAGUUGGAGAGAGGUAGGCGGAAUGCGCGGUGUAGCGGUGAAAUGCAUAGAUAUCGCGAAGAACUCCGAUUGCGAAGGCAGCAUGCCGGCUCCACACUGACGCUGAGGCACGAAAGCGUGGGUAUCGAACAGGAUUAGAUACCCGAGUAGUC